rnacentral:rRNA from 1 species
CGGGGGGGCAAGCGUUGUUCGGAAUUACUGGGCGUAAAGGGCUCGUAGGCGGCCAACUAAGUCAGACGUGAAAUCCCUCGGCUUAACCGGGGAACUGCGUCUGAUACUGGAUGGCUCGAGUUUGGGAGAGGGAUGCGGAAUUCCAGGUGUAGCGGUGAAAUGCGUAGAUAUCUGGAGGAACACCGGUGGCGAAGGCGGCAUCCUGGACCAACACUGACGCUGAGUGAGCGAAAGCCAGGGGAGCAAACGGGAUUAGAUACCCCGGUAGUCCUGGCCCUAAACGAUGAAUGCUUGGUGUGGCGGGUAUCGAUCCCUGCCGUGCCGAAGCUAACGCAUUAAGCAUUCCGCCUGGGGAGUACGGUCGCAAGGCUG